rnacentral:rRNA from 1 species
UACGGAAGGCAGCAGUGGGGAAUAUUGCACAAUGGGCGCAAGCCUGAUGCAGCCAUGCCGCGUGUAUGAAGAAGGCCUUCGGGUUGUAAAGUACUUUCAGUCGUGAGGAAGGUGUUAAGGUUAAUAACCUUAGCAAUUGACGUUAGCGACAGAAGAAGCACCGGCUAACUCCGUGCCAGCAGCCGCGGUAAUACGGAGGGUGCGAGCGUUAAUCGGAAUUACUGGGCGUAAAGGGCACGCAGGCGGUUAAUUAAGUUGGAUGUGAAAUCCCCGGGCUUAACCUGGGAAUGGCAUUCAAGACUGGUUAGCUAGAGUCUUGUAGAGGGGGUAGAAUUCCAUGUGUAGCGGUGAAAUGCGUAGAGAUGUGGAGGAAUACCGGUGGCGAAGGCGGCCCCUGGCAAAGGACUGACGCUCAUGUGCGAAAGCUGGGGAGCAAAC